rnacentral:rRNA from 1 species
UAGAGUUUGAUCCUGGCUCAGAACAAACGCUGGCGGCGUGCCUAAUACAUGCAAGUCGAACGGGGAAAGCUUUCGGGUGAGUACUAGUGGCGCACGGGUGAGUAACGCGUGGAUAAUCUGCCUUGAAGAGGGGGAUAACCAGUCGAAAGAUUGGCUAAUACCGCAUAAGACCACAGGAACUGAGGUUCUAGAGGUCAAAGGUUUUUCGCUUCAAGAUGAGUCCGCGUAAGAUUAGCUAGUUGGUGAGGUAACGGCUCACCAAGGCGACGAUCUUUAACUGGUCUGAGAGGAUGAUCAGUCACACUGGAACUGAGACACGGUCCAGACUCCUACGGGAGGCAGCAGUAGGGAAUAUUGCACAAUGGAGGAAACUCUGAUGCAGCGACGCCGCGUGAGUGAUGAAGGCCUUCGGGUCGUAAAGCUCUGUCGCAGGGGAAUAACACAAUGAAGGUACCCUGUAAGAAAGGAUCGGCUAACUUCGUGCCAGCAGCCGCGGUAAUA